ensembl:lncRNA
CUUCACCUUAAGACCACAGAGAACUCAGCUUCUUGGAAGAGUAGCAAGGAGACUAAACCAGGAUGUGAGGGAAAUGGUGCUGGAGAGGACGAUCUGUCCCCAGACGGAGAGCCCCACCUCCCAGGCAUGGUGUCCAGAGGCUGGUGGGGAUGACAGUCUGACACCAGGUUCCUGACAUGCAAGGAUGGAUCACGACUAGAGGAAGUUGCAGCAGCUGGGGUGAUAGCGUGCCGGCCACUGCCACGGGAUCACCAGGCCGACAACUGCAGGAGGCACAGUUCCCAGCACAGUCCAUUUGAACGGCACCUGGGGCAAGACAUUUACUGUCCCUCGAAGCCCCAUGCACUUCCUUUAUUCGCUGAUCUUGCACCGGCCAGGCCUUGGGACUAACCCUGCUCAGUUCCCCUUCAUGAGAAAGACUGUCUUGGAUUCUGUGCUGCAGAUGUGGAAACCUCUGUACACACCACGCAUUAUAAUCAGAUAAAGCCCUGGACCCCGUGACGGAUGGCCACGGCAUACCAGCUGCUGUCCACUGACUUCUCUCACUGAGGCUCUUGUCCAGCAGAAGAACUGGGCAUGCUCAUGUUGGCAAGAAAAUGAACCUGAAAUGUGGAAUGUAUUCAGAGACUGGAAGGAGCGAGCCCUUUAUUUGCUUAAGGCUGCUUCCUUGCACCUGAUAUUAAUAAAUGAAAUGAAGGCUGAACAGUGUUUCAAACAACUAUACAAAUUGGAACAUGCUCGUCUAGUCAACAGAAGACGAAGAAAAUCCAGAAGUCGGCAAUAAAUAAACUGAAUAAGCUCAGUCAGUCAUUUCAACUUUCUUUUUGUAAGAUAUUCAUGGGAAUUGGAAUUCUGGAGGAUUGCCAUGAGUUUUUACUUCUUGCAUUGAAUUUGGACUCCCUUUUGCUUUGCGGCAUCGAUCAGAAGAAGGGACUGGGUAUGCCCAGGUCUAAUGCAAAUUUUGCUUCCUGCUAAAAAUUUUUGCAACUAUCAAAAAUGUAUGGGAAGACCACAUUCAUUAAAAUAAUAAUAACUAACAUUUUUCUAAUAUGGGCCAGAUACUGGGCUAAGCGGUUUACAUAAAUUAGCUCAUUUAACCCUAACUCAGCCUCUUUAUAUGUUAUGAGUUCCAUUUUAUGGAUGGGAAAACUGAGAUCCGGAGAGGCCCAGGAACUCACCCAAGGUUACACAUCUAGUAGCUGUUGACACAGGAAUUCAACUCCAUUACCACUAUAUCAUUAGCUGACAUCUCCAUCACACCACAUAAUGACGAUUUCUUUUGUGUGGUGGGAACAUUUAAGAUCUACUCUCUUAACAACUUUCAAGUAGAUAAUACAGUGUUAUUAACUAUAAUCAGCAUGCUGUAUAUUAGAUCUCCAGAACUUACUCAUCCUAUAACUGGAAGUUUGUACCCUUUGACCAGUAUCUCAUUUCCUCCAUCUCCCAACUCCUGGAAACCACCAGUCUACUCUGUUUCUAUGAGUUCAGCUUCUUUAGGUUCCACAUAUAAGUGAUAUCAUACAGUAUUUGUCUUUCUCUGACUUAUUUCACUGAGCAAAAUGCCCUCAGAGUUCAUUCAUGUUGUCACAAAUGGGAGGAUUUCCUUCUGUCUCAUGGAUGAAUAAUAUUCCAUUGUAUGUAUACAGUAAACAUCUUCUUUAUCCAUUCAUCUGUUGAUGGACACUGGGGUUGUUUCCAAGGCUUGACUAUUGUGAAUAAUGCAGCAAUGAACAUGAGGGGGCCGAUAUCUCUUCGAGAUCCUGGUUGCAUUUCCUUUGCAUGUAUACCUGGUUUUAUCUUGUAUUAUAUGAGUAGCACACGCCAAUAGUUUGCACACAGCAGAGGCAGUAAAAUCAGCCACAUUAACAAUUUCCUGUGAAAGGCACAAAGUUAAUGUACAUGAGGCCUCUGCCUAUCAGAAAUUUAUAAUCCAUUGGUAGAGACAAGACGAACAAUUAACUAAACUGUU